rnacentral:rRNA from 1 species
CGUCGUGCGGGUAGUAGCAAAAAUCUCCAUCGGUUGUAGCAGAUUGCCCUCCAUAUUGAAGCAUCACCGGUUGCAACACCGUGCGCUGCCGCUCGUCGUAGCUCCGGUGCGAACUCUCCCAGCACAUAGCGCAGAGAGCUACCAUGAUGUCCGCCCCUUGCAGCGUGUAACCAUGGCUGGUGGGGGUGGCUAGAAAGGAACUGAGAGUGGGGUAACGGCCGGCGAGCCAGACUGAAGCCAGGGGUGGGGGUGUGCGCCGGGUGUGCUAGAUGCAGGAGAGACGGCAGCUCGCCGACGGGGAUCGAAGAAAAAGGAGGCUGAGAUGCGGUGGCAAGAGGGAAUAGAGGAUAAGAUAAGACACGCAAUGGAACGAGUGGACUGGAGGCUUCAACAGACCCAUGUGAAUACUACUGCGAGUGGAGUGGUG